rnacentral:rRNA from 1 species
AAACAUCGCCUCUUGAACAGAUAUAAGAGGUCCAGCCUGCCCGGUGAUACAAUUUAACGGCCGCGGUAUACUGACCGUGCGAAGGUAGCAUAAUCACUUGUUCUUUAAAUGAGGACUAGUAUGAACGGCACCACGAGGGCUUUACUGUCUCCUCCCUUCAAUCAGUGAAACUGACCCCCCUGUGAAGAGGCAGGGAUACUACUAUAAGACGAGAAGACCCCAUGGAGCUUUAAACCCAACAACAGCCCAAACACCACCACCCCUAAAAGUUUUAACGGUAUUGCUAGUUGGUUUUAGGUUGGGGUGACCGCGGAGUAUAAACUAUCCUCCACGACGAACGGGCCUACCCCCUUACCCAAGAGCUACACCUCUAAGGAUUAACACAUUAACGUAAAAUGAUCCAAAUAUUUGAUCAACGAACCAAGUUACCCUGGGGAUAACAGCGCAAUCCAUUUUUAGAGCCCCUAUCGACAAAUGGGUUUACGACCUCGAUGUUGGAUCAGGGUAUCCAGGAGGUGCAGCCGCUUCCAAUGGUUUGUUUGUU